UACGUAGGGUGCGAGCGUUUGUCCGGAAUUAUUGGGCGUAAAGAGCUCGUAGGCGGUUUGUUGCGUCGGCUGUGAAAUCCCGAGGCUCAACCUCGGGUCUGCAGUCGAUACGAGCAAACUAGAGUGUUGCAGGGGAGACUGGAAUUCCUGGUGUAGCGGUGAAAUGCGCAGAUAUCAGGAGGAACACCGGUGGCGAAGGCGGGUCUCUGGGCAACAACUGACGCUGAGGAGCGAAAGCGUGGGGGAGCGAACAGG
rnacentral:rRNA from 1 species